AGUCAACCUGCCCUUGGGUCGAGGAUAAUCUCGGGAAACUGAGGCUAAUACUCGAUAGGUCAAGAUUCCUGGAAUGGGUUUUGGUCAAAAUGAGGUAACAGCAUCUUUGUUAUUUUCGCCCAAGGAUGGGACUGCGGCCGAUCAGGCUGUUGGUGGGGUAAAGGCCCACCAAACCAGUAACCGGUACGGGCUUGAGAGAAGGAGCCCGGAGAUGGACACUGAGACAAGGGUCCAGGUCCUACGGGGCGCAGCAGGCGCGAAACCUUCGCAAUGCGCGCAAGCGCGACGAGGUUAUUCCGAGUGAUUCCCGCUGAGGGAAUCUUUUCUCAGAUCUAAAACGUCUGGGGAAUAAGGGGAGGGCAAGUCUGGUGUCAGCCGCCGCGGUAAUACCAGCUCCUCGAGUGGUCAGGGCGUUUAUUGGGCCUAAAGCAUCCGUAGCCUGCUCGGUAGGUCUCCUGUUAGAUCCAACGGCUCAACCGUUGGUCUGCAGGAGAUACCGCCGGGCUAGGAGGCGGGAGAGGCGGACGGUACUCCGAGGGUAGGGGUAAAAUCCUUUGAUCCCCGGAAGACCACCAGUGGCGAAGGCGGUCCGCCAGAACGCGCUCGACGGUGAGGGAUGAAAGCUGGGGGAGCGAACCGGAUUAGAUACUCGGGUAGUCCCAGCUGUAAACGAUGCGAGCUAGGUGACACGACGCCUUCGGGGCAUCGUGGUGCCGCAGGGAAGCCGUUAAGCUCGCCGCCUGGGGAGUACGGACGCAAGUCUGAAACUUAA
rnacentral:rRNA from 1 species